GAUAAAGGAGAUUCACAGGGCCCAUUGGACAGGUGUAUGAAAGAGGACACACAUGGAGGAAUCUGAUUCCUAAGACAUUGUGUACUUGUAGCAUAAAUAAUUUUGUAAAUAUAUUCUAUGAACCUUAAAGUAUUGUAUACUUUGAACUACCACAUAAAAAUACCAGAAAAAAUGUACACAUUUUAUUGAUUCACAUUUAAAUGCAUUUCCCUUUGAGGAAACUGAGCAUCUGUACUUAAAAAAGUCCAUUGCUUUCUCUGAAGUGUUCUGAAUGGAUGUUGCCGAGCAGUCCCUCAGAUGAUUAUUGGAAAACAAUUGUCAGUUCUAAAGUUCUCAUUUCUAUUUUAAGUGGUCCUCCAAAGCAUAUCUUGCAGGACUAUCUAUAGUAACUGAUGAUAAAGUUCAUAGUUUUAGUGCAAAGUUACUAUAUAUAGCCUUGCCUAUAUGCUGCAAGAACGCAGAUUUAACUGCUGGUUCUCUCCACAGGUGUGUUCCCCUGCACAUUUGCGACAGCAGUCAGAAGAUCUGUACGCUGUCAUAGACGAAGUGUUAGAGGACCCCAUUCCAAUGCGCAAAACAUCCCCUGCCCUCGCAUAUCCCAGGGAAUCAAAGGAAAAGGUGCACCAAAGGCAACUUACAACCUACAACCAUCUGCCACUGUUGAGAGAGAACCUCCAGAUCCAUAAAAAGGUCAUUGGGACAUGAAACUAAAUAUGUGAGUAUACAUUUUUGUUUUGUUCCCUUAGUAAUAAACUACACAUAUCCCAAAAUAAAUGAGAAUGCUUGCUAUUGUGCAUCUGGAAGAAGAAGAAAAACGUUCCAGGCGCUUCAAAAAGAUAAAUCUGGUGGCCACAUUGGAAAGCACCAUAACUUUGCUGAUGACUAAUUACUGUGUCUGUAAUUGAAUAACUAAACAAUGUAUUAUUCACUCCUUCUGAUACUGUAAUGAGGUGUUCUUUGUUGUGAUGUUCUCAUUUCUCAUAUGCAAAAUAUCCUGACAAAGAUUGCUCUAGGAUAGUUUUAGACAUACCCUGUGCAUUCAGAAAGUAUUCGCACCUCUUGACUUGUCCCACAUUUUGUUGUGCUACAGCUUGAAUUUAAAAUAGAUUCAAUUUCAAUCCAGCUCUUAGAGACUUACCCAGAAAGACUCAGCUGUAAUCACUGUCAAAGGUGCUUCUACUAAGUAUUGACUCAGGGGUGUGAAUACUUAUGUAAAUUAUAUAUUUCUGUAUUUCAUUUUUAAUAAAAUGUGCAAACAUAUCUAAAAACAUACAUUUACUUUGUCAUUAUGGGAUAUUGUGUGUAGAUGGAUGAGAAAAAAAUUGAGUUAAUCCAUUUUGAAUUCAGGCUGUUACACAACAAAAUGUGGAAUAAAUCAAGGGGUGUGAAUACUUUCUGAAGGAAAGGUACUUAAAAAUAAUUACAGGCAACAUACAACCUACAACCAUCUGCAACUAUUGAGAGAGAACUACCAGAUCCAUAUAAGGUAUUCUAUUGCAAAUAUGUCAAAUCUGUUUAAACUCUGUAAUGCUAAUGAAUGCACAUAUGCUUUCUGAUUCAUUUAUUAAGUGUAUAUUACAGACCAAGCCUGGGGUAAUUCGACCUGCUAAUAUUAUCCCAAGAUUACCAGAGGAAGAUAAUGAAGCAUUUCAUCCAAACCCCUUCAAGCAAUAUCUGAAUGAGCUGACUGUCAAUAACAAGAACAAGGUCUACUCACCCCAUUGUGACAAUCCAUGAGAAUGAGGUGCUGAUGUCCAAUAAGCUUGAAAACACACUUUUGGAAAAGAUGGAGACAAAUGGCAACAUAAUCUCUGGCAACCUGGCCUUGAACACAGAGAGAAACAGCGUGAAAAACUCAACCAAAGAGGAAAAAACCUCUCAAUCUCCCCACUGAUUAUUACUGAAUCUGAGUACCCGAAUGCUAACCCUGCAAAAGAUGGAACCUGGCAAGGUGAUGCGACCUCUUUCAACACUACCAAGGUGAAGAUGGAAGCCUUUGAGACACACAUUUAAAUUGUUGGUGACAUAUCAAAAGGGGGUAGAGAGUCAUUCCCUCUAGUAUUGACAAAGAGGACUUGAGGCUGUUUCAUCAUUAUUGACAAAUGUGACAAUAUGCAAUAAAUUCAACCGCUUUUGUUAUUGUAUAAACAUUUAUGAAAGGCAACAUUUUCUGGAUAUUCUAAAACUGUGAGGAAAGACAAUAUAUACUGUAAGUACAUACUGGAUGAAUUGAGUUAUUCUGAACUGAUUGAUAGUAUUAGUUAAUCAUUCUGAUUUGUAAUGAAUAAAACAUUUUGUAACCUUUAAGUUUGUUUGAUCACUGAUAUUGUUUAUAUAUGUGAAUAAACAUGUUAUAAUACAUAAUGCAAGUA